CUUUGAGGAUCAGAUUUCAGAGGGCCAGCUUUACCGCCAGUAGGUGCUCCUUCAGGUGACCGAUCUUGGAGGACUUACAUGAAGGGAAAUAUUUGCAGAAAAAGGUUCAGGAAGGAAUCAAAGCAACCCAAGGAAUGGCUGUAGCACCGCAGCUGUGGACCACCCUAACAUAUUUGCAGUAGCCAAGGUGUUUAAGAGAUCAACCUGGACGACAUUGAGAAGUCUCAAGCGCCUUCAAACCAGUUCUUUGGCACCAGAGGAAGGCUUUGUGCCUUCAAAAUAUAGGCCAUUGGAAUUGGGGUUGUGAUUAUUCCGAUAUUCACAGCCAUUGAAAAAGAGGGACCUGGAAAAGCUUCUCAGCUGCAAAACUCCUUGGACCCAAGACAAUCAGAGACUGUAAUGUAUAUUUUCCUUUAUCCCUUUGGAAC